CACCACAAGGACCCGUUCAACCGGUGUUUGCUGAAUGUUUGUAGCACGCACCCGAGAAUGCGCAAUGAGAGCUCACAGAAGGCCACGCAGCAGGGCCAGCUCCCACCCGCAGCCCAGCAUUUCAGGGCACCUUGCUGCUGUGUGCCCCAGAGCAGACGAGCGCCAUGUCCCCACCUGGCAGAAGGGAUGGAGGCUUCACUGGAGGUGGGAACCAGCUCUCUUCACCUCCCCUACACGGCUGCACUAACGUGGUCCUACGGAAGGUGUGCUCUGACAUUUUGUGGGGGAGUGCGCCGAAUCAGAGGUGCCUUUAGUUAAGCAGUGUGCAAUCAACAGGGGAAUGUCACCGAGGGAGCCCGGAUCUCUCUGUACAACCCGCUCUGUGGAGCAGUGGACUGUGUCCGUCCUCCCACAUCUCCCGUGGCCUCCCCAGGCCUCUUGGAGCCUCUCUCGCCUGCUUCCCGAGCCACCGCCUGGGGAUAGUCGAAUGCAGUCAAACACGCCAUUAACUAGGGCACAGGGGUUGUUACGUAACUGGAGAGCUAAAGCCAGCUGUGAACCACUCCUAAAUGUCGCCCGCUAAGUCGUGGUGAGUAGGGUUUUUGAGCACAGCCACUAGGGCCUUAUGUGUCCAGACGAGACCUUUUCCCUGCUAGUCCCUUUGGCAGUAUCAGCCGUCACUCGGCAAUGCCGCCGCUGAGCAGGCUGUUCCUGGAACCGCACCUGGUCUUCAAGCCGGCCGACAACAGGCGCCACACCAGAGGAGAGUCGGGGACCGCGGCCCAUUUCACCCACACCACUCUGUUGUGCUUCAGCAUCCGUCAGAAGCCUCUGGAGCAGCCCGGGUGGGGCCAGACCGGCACUGGGCUGAGCUGGGCAGGGGCUGACCAGCAGCCUCCAGCCACCUCCCCGCAGUGUCCUGAUGGUAACCACUCGGUGUCGAGUCCGCUGCUUGUCCCCCAUCCCACUCAGGCCUGGGACGCCCGGCUCCUGCUCCAUCUGUGAGGAGCUGGACUUUCCCGUUUCCCAGCCAGCGCUCAGUCCACAGCCCCGGAGGCACCAGUACUCUCGUCUGAAGCCCCUCCCAGAGUUGGUCUUGGAUCUUUGCGCCUUUGUGGAAACGCAGCUCCCAGGCUCCUGAUAAGGGACACUUGACCCACAGGGCUGACCGCUGCUCCCCUGGCAACAGCAUCCUUGGCUUUCAGGCUCUUUUAAGAAGAACCACUUAGAGCCCUGCCCACUGCAGGAUGCCGCGGGUUGCAAUCUGUCCCCCUACGUGUGUGAUCUGAUCGCCAAGACUGAGUAUCUUACAGACAUGACACAGGCAACCAGGUGCCUACGUCCAGGAAACAGCCAACGAUGUCUGAUUGCUGGGAGCUCAUUUCCCGAUUUUAAAACAGUCCAGCCCUCCACGACCUGUGCACAGAGACCACAGGCAAGCGGUGAGGGGAGCCACACGCUGCCCCUGCAAGCCUCACUGCCCGGAGCUCGUCCAGCAGCAGGGCCCCUGCUCACCCCAGAGUCUUUUCUCCUCAGCACACGCACAGUGAGCGCCUCAGGGGAUAGACGCGCAUUCAGCAGGGCAGUGUCUGGGUGCCCCUUCAGGGGCCUCCGUAGAACCUGCUGAGCAUCUGGGUCAGCUUAGAUUUCCACUGCCCAAAUGCUCCCCCGUCGAAUUAAAAGCAACCAACCAACCAGAUGGGUAAAACUCAGACCCACUUGGAAUACCAAACUGUAUCAUAUGCUUUAAAAUGAAAUAUCUUGGGCGUCCUGCCUGGGAAUGAAGUGAGGUGUCCCGCACACACUGGUUCUGGCAGUAAGGACAGGGCAGCUGCACCUUUGCUCUGAGCUCCAACGGUAAGAAAGUCUCCCCGACUGGACACUCAAUGUACCCACAGUGUGGGUGUGCUGUCUGUGUCUUGUCUUCUCCCUGGACAGUGGAACUGUGUUUAGCAGGACCUGGAAAAACUGUGCUUCUACUGAACUACCGGAAAAAGGGGCUCUGGAAUUAUCCCCGUGUUGAACAGAUCGCUUGUGCUGCCCUCAGCUAAACCCGCAGGGUGCUGGGUAACACAAUAAAACAGAGGGCCAUGGCCCCAAAGACCACCACUGUAGCAGGAUUCGUGCACCGAGAUAACCAGGGUCUUGCAACAGGAAGUGGUCUUUCAUUAUGCCAGCAAAGACCCAGGUGGAAUUUCUUAUCCAAAACCCUGGCCCUGAACAAAGAAGGGUUUUUCCUUAUAUACGGUUUCAGCCUCUUUGUCUCCCUUAUGUAUGGCUCCCUGCACACACUGGCCUGGAUUUUCUAAUGUCACCUGGCGGCCACAGGAAUGGGUACGUGGUUGUUUUUUCUUCUCUGUACACAUACUGAACCCCUCGUGGUCUGGCAAGGGUUAACCUCUUUGCUCUGUACUCGCAAGCAGAACCUGAAGUGGUUCCAUAUUCGCAGAUGGGGACUACAGUUGGAGCACUCACAGGCAGGCAGAUAAGGGCUACAAUCGGAGCACUCACAGGCAGGCAGAUAACAGCCACAUUUCAUUCCCAGGACAGAUGCCUCCCUUUUUCUUCUUCUGACCUUGGGAAGGCCUCUGCCGCAGCUUUAAUCACGUCAGUUAGAAACAAGUCUAAACAGAAAACAGGGGCCUCUGCCCGUCACUGACCCACUGGCCAUGGAAAAGUGAACUUUAAACCCUCACAGGGUCCAGUGAAUAUUUUAGGGGUUUUGUGGGACCUUCCAUUGCUCCAGAACCCUUUAGUUAUCAUAAUCUUGAGCCCCCAGUUUUUAUUGGAAACACCCACAAGAAAGGGAAGCACCAGGGCAGAGGAGAGAUUAGCACCCCAACUCUGGGCCCUUGGGGGCUGUCAGGCAUCAUGGGUUCUCAGGUGGCCAGUGUGCAGGUGGCCUGUCCAGUGGGGCUUCUACUUCAAGUCAGCCUCCGUCCACCCUGGCAGCCCUUUUUCCUGUCUUUGAGCCACGGAUCUGAGAGCCUGUGGGUUGCACUAUAGCAGAUUCAGGAAGGCCCUCAUUUCCACCAGACUGUGAGACUUGGGGCUCCACCCACAAACUCGCUCACCUUGCCAGGGCACGAGAGCAGGCUGAGGCCUGUUUCACGCUUCAGCAUGGAAAGCGUCUUGUGUUUCUUCGGUUGCACUCCAGAUGAAGUCACUUGUUUGUGUCUGGGAUUUCUCGUAAAGGGUGACUUCCCUCUCCAAAGCCUGCAGGGCUCUCACGUGGUGUGCAGCCCAGGGAGGAACAGCAGGUUUGCAGCCCACUCUGAGACAUGUGCUUCUUCCACAGUAACAGGCCUGAGCAGCCACACCUGCUGAGCAGGUGCAGUUGACUUCAACAAAGUUAAAUAGUUGUAUAGCAGGUUUAAAAUUCACAAACAUCAAACUAGGUGUACAAGGACAGAGUUCUGUCUUCUGUAACUAAACACCUUUACCAGUAGAAUAUA